AAAUUGAAGAGUUUGAUCAUGGCUCAGAUUGAACGCUGGCGGCAGGCCUAACACAUGCAAGUCGAACGGUAACAGGAAACAGCUUGCUGUUUCGCUGACGAGUGGCGGACGGGUGAGUAAUGUCUGGGAAACUGCCUGAUGGAGGGGGAUAACUACUGGAAACGGUAGCUAAUACCGCAUAACGUCGCAAGACCAAAGAGGGGGACCUUCGG
rnacentral:rRNA from 2 species